rnacentral:rRNA from 1 species
CAGCCGCCGCGGUAAUACCGGCGGCCCGAGUGGCGGCCACUAUUAUUGGGCUUAAAGCGUCCGUAGCCGGGUUGGUUAGUCUCCCGGGAAAUCUGGCCGCUUAACGGUCAGAAUUCCGGGAGAUACUGCCAGCCUAGGGACCGGGAGAGGCCGAGGGGAUUCCCGGGGUAGGGGUGAAAUCCUAUAAUCCCGGGAGGACCACCUGUGGCGAAGGCGCUCGGCUGGAACGGGUCCGACGGUGAGGGACGAAGGCCAGGGGAGCAAACCGGAUUAGAUACCCGGGUAGUCCUGGCUGUAAAGGAUGCGGGCUAGGUGUCGGGUGAGCUUCGGGCUCGCCCGGUGCCGUAGGGAAGCCGUUAAGCCCGCCGCCUGGGGAGUACGGCCGCAAGGCUGAAACUUAAAGGAAUUGGCGGG